CGGGCGAGCGUGCGGCCGGGGGGUCCGGGAACUCCGCGCUCCCAGCUCCGCCGGAUGGGCAGCACAGGGCGAGUGGCAGACCUUCCUCGUCCCGCUGUCGCCGUCCGAAGGCGCGACUUGGGCUGAAAGCUGCCGAGCGCAGGGCGGGGGCUCCCGGCUGGUGCGAAACAGAAGCGUGCUUUAUCUUAUGACUCCCUUCGAGCUGAGCGCGUUUACCACCGAAGGAACCCACUGAGAGCAGUGGUGUCGGCACCCCCCCCUCGCCCCCCCCCCCCAUCUUUUGCCUCUCUGUUGUUUAACAGUGAGGGGAAAGAAAGCAGAGGGAGAGAGGAGGGUAUAGUGCUGUCGGCAUAGAAGCUUUGGCAAAAAAAUGCAAGUUUGUUUUUCUCAGAUGCUUCUCAUAAAUAAGUGGAUUAACACAAAUAGUCGGUACAGAGUUAGACUACUUUAGUUGUGCAGUCCAACUUGCUUCACUGCUUUGGAGGUUGAAGAUGGUAAAUGAUUUUCAUGAACCGUUUUGCAAAUUUUUAAACUUUGUCCUUUCUUUACUAAGUUUUAGGCCCUGUGAAGUCCGUGUGUCCCGUUCUGCAGUCUUUCCCGUGCUCUCUCUCCUUCUAAGAUGCAAUCUGGUGCCUGAGGAGUGUCCUGAAUCCCAAACUCAGCCGUGAAAGAGGACCAAAAAUGUCACCCUGGCAGCUUUGAGUUGUCAUCGGCCAGCCUGGGUGUGCUGCUCUGAAGCAGUGUCACUCUGCAGCCACCGAGACCACCUCAGUUUCCCCUCCAUCCAGGCUGGCUCCAACUCCUUGUCAGCUGGGCUGAAAAGUACAGCAGUUCAUGAGCACUUGGCAUGUGCCAGGUGAGAGAGGUAGUGACUUCAAGUUGAGCCAUGGGAGGUUCAGGUUGGGUAUUCAGAAAAAUGUCUUCUCAGAAAGAGUGGUGAGGCAUUGGCAGAGGCUGCCCAGGGAGGUGCUGGAGUCACUGUCCCUGGAGGUGUUGAAGAAACGUGGCACUGAGGGACAUGGUUUAGUGGGCAUGAUGGUGCUGGGUUGAUGGUCAGCCUAGAUCAUCUUAGUGGUCUUUUCCAACCGUAAUGAUUCUAUGAUUCUACGCAAGAGCAAUGCUUCAAGGGGGGAAGGAGUUACACAAAAUACAUUCCCUUCCCUCCAACAGGCAGCAGACCGAGGCCUCAGCCCUCGUGAGCAGCCUCACCCAGGCUGCCCAGGUGCCUCCUCCCCAUAGGAAUGCAAAACUGUGCCCAGGGAGAGCUAACCCGCAGGGGAUGGGUUAUCCGAGGAUAGGGGGUGGGUGGAGGAAGAGUAGCGUGAAGAGAGGUGUCUCCGCUUCUCAUGUUAAUUAAUGCAAGGUGAAAAACUAUAAUUAAGUUUUCAGAGCUGUGAAUCCAGAGUGAGAAGAAGCAUGUCCUGCUGAACCUGAACAGGGCACCUAAACCCCAGAGCAGACUGGGCUGUAGCACACCCUUUUCCCCUUGCUGCCUAAUUUAGGUACAGUGCCCUGUUGGGUUUUUUUUUGUCCAGUGACCAGGCCAAGAUAUCAAAUCAGGCAUUUCUGUUUCCCAAAGAAUUAGCUCUAGCCAAUUUUUUUUCAUAUAUUUCCUUUAUUAAUUACUAAAGAACCAGGGCUGCUGCUAAUGGAAAUGUGUCACACAGUAUUUUUUAAGUAAUUUCAUAAAAUUUACCAGAAGAAAAAGAUCAAAUAGUUUUUUUGUCCUCUUACAAGAAGAUAAUACAGAAGGGAAAGGAAAUGUUUAGUGCCUCACCAAUCUUUUUCAGCACACUGUGUGCUUCACUUUGCUUUCUGAGGGUGUCUGGUUGUCCUGCGGGGUUCCUGUGUACUGACAAGUGCUCUGUCUGUGGCUGAGAGCCCUGCUAGCAUCAGCUGUUUUCAUUUCCCAUUCCAACAGAGGUAAAUAAUAGAAUUUCCCAUAUUUCUCCUAUAUAUAGGUCCCUGGUAUCAAAGAGGCUUUAUGGUGGUGUUCGUUGCCUCUUUCUCCUUGUCCACUUUGGAUCUGUAAGAGGACACACGUGCCAUUUGAAUCUUGGAAAGAAAAGCUAGGAGAUAGUGUAUGGGAUGCUAAGGUACAGGCCCAAGGCAGACAGUCCCCAGGUUGUCUUCCAGCCUUGCGACAGCAAGAUUGGUAGCUGAUGUAUUGCUUCUCUAUCCUGAGAUGUGCAGGCUCCAAAUUGUCCUGGUGUAUCCAAGUCUUUGUGAGCCCCAAGAACACUUUCUGGCUGUGAUCUAAGGCAGGGGGAAGAAAAGAUGCCUUGAGACUUCUCUCUUGGCACCCCAGCUGACGUUACACAUCUGCAAGAGCGGCUCCCGGAAUACAGGAUCAUGCAGCAGGGCCAGGAACAGAGGAGGACAGGAACAGUAUUUGGUCAGGUGUGCAGCUGUUGAAUGGUCAGGUCUGUAAAGAGAGAAACCUGUUAGUGCAAGCUUGACUGUCGUUCUCCAGUCGUUUUCAGUGCAUGGAUGAAUCCAUACUCUUAAUUUCAACUUUUCCCAAUGGCCACAUGUCUGCCAUAACCUGUGAACGCCCACCUUGCAGUCACAGUGUGCGGUGCAGUUGCGUGCCCAAGCAAGGGGAAUGGGCUUGCUGUCCAUGCUUGCAUUCAGGUAGAAAAAAAAUAUAGGAAAAGCAACACCAAGAUGGUUGUGAGCAUGGUGCUAAGCAUGUACUUCAGGCUGAGCUUUGAACAGAGGGACAUGCUGGAGUAUGCCUGAUUGUAGUGUUUUCACCUCCUGUUUUCAGGCAGAGGUCAGCGUUCACAUCUUAUGUAAAUAAAUUGGCCUCCUGACAGCAAAAACAUUGCAAGGCCACGUAUACAGACUCACUGCUCAGACAGCAGUGCAGGGAAUGCAGCUGCCAGGAAGAGAAGGUGGAGGUAUGGAGAUUCUUUCUGUAGUUGCGACUGUCUGUGCUACUCUAUAGCAGAGGUAAUUAUCCCUGAACUUUGGGGAGAUACUAGAAUCCGUCUACUACUGCAGUUGUUCCUUUUGCAUUGCCAGUGUAACAGCAAUCACUCAAAGCCAGCUCAUCUCAAGUUCCUUGAGAUUGGAAACAGGGUUGUGAUCCUUGAACAUAUUUCAGAUGACAGAGGUUAGGCUAAAUCAGGUCUGGAUAAAAUAAUGAUGUUCCUAUCUUGUUGCCCUGACACCAACCAGCUCAGCAGAUGGAUCUAGAUGGGAAGGAGGUCCAGUGUUGGAAGUCCAGUGCUGGAAACCUGACAAGUAAUGAGAGCUGGAAGGGAGUCCAGUUUCUCCAGUGAUUCUAAACAUCGUAGCAGAGCCAAGUUUAAGAGUGCCUGGAGGCCCAGGCUAUGUUGCAACACCUAUUUGCUAUGUGCAGGACAUACUUUCAGGAGACCAUUUCCAUCUGGAAUAGCUUCUUCUGCACACACUAAGUAUCAGUAAGAAGAAAGAGACUGAUCACGCUGCACUGGAACAGAGAAGAUGCAUAGUUUACCCAAGGCUGUAACUGAGAAAGUCCUCUAUAGAGCUGUAUGGACAGCCUCGCUCUCAAGCCAUGUGGAUAGACAGCAGAACUGAUCAGCUGAUGUUUUUGCAUGGAGAAAGAAAAGAGUGCAUAUGCCUGAAACAACCUGUGCUAAACAUGGUGAUACAAGUGGCAAUUCCACUUGUUCAGAAGGCAGCCUGAUCAUGGGAGACUUCAGAAUUUUUGUUCAUGUCUUUGCUAAUGAUCCCUUUAAUUACGAGCUAUAAAUCAUAUGGUAUGAAAAUAUCACCAUUCUCAUUUCAAGAAGAAAGAUUUUGUAAUGCUUUCUCACUGUGUAAUAUGUAUGGAUUUAGGGCUCUGUGGAUUAAAUUUGGCAAUUUCAGGCAUGCAAGGUUACUAAUCCGUACUUUGUCUACAAAAAAAUAGAAAGAAGAAGCAAGGCAGCCUUGUGCCCUGGGGAUGGCUGGGGAAUUCCACACAUGCCUGUCUUCUGUAACUCUUGUCAAGGGUGAAAACAUUAACAUCAGUGUUGCAAUAGUUACAGGCAGACCGAAGGGGCACACUUGAAGCAAACAUACGUGGUUUCGUUAAGUACUUCUCUGUUUUCACCUCACGGUUAUUUUUUUGACAUCUCUGUUCUUCCAGUUUCCUGAUGUUUUAAAGAAUGUAUUUGUCACAUUUAAUUCUGUUUUCCUGUAAUAACUUCAUCCACAGAGACUUCUCUUGGAGAACGGCCCAGAGAUUUUUCUGUUUCUUCUUACAUUUCUAUUUUCUCUGCAUCUGCUAUUACAUCAUUUAUAUGGGUUGCAUACACAUAAUUUUAGUUUUUAUGUCAGAGUUAUAAUGCCACAAUCAGGCUGUCGAAAUGGCUAAGUCCUGAGGAAUUUAUUUAGGCAGGAUUUGCACAGAAUUUUGUGUGAUUGCUUCAAUAAGUUGAAUGCUGCAAUAUUUCUGGUAGGUAUGCAAAAAUAAUAUAGGUAUAAGAAUAGAGCAUCAGUAAAAAUCAUUUCAGCAGUCACUAAAGUGAACCACAUUGUGCAGCUUUAACAAGGUCAGUGACGAACUAGAAGGAAGCAAGGAAUCUUGAUUUUGGCUUCAGUUUUCAACUCUUGACCACACUUCUUUGCUGUAUAAUUAUACUAUUUACUGUUAAAUUUCAUUUAAUAUUGAACUGAGUAAAUGCUAUAAUUACUGAAUUUAAUAAAUUC
ensembl:lncRNA